AGAGUGAGAGUCUCAGUGUAGGCCCUGCCCAUGGCUGUCUCUUAUGGGUGUGCCCUACAGCCUGGAAAGUUCUUCUCAGAAUCCAUCACCCGACAUUUUACAGGCAGGAAAUGGAGGCCAGAGAAGGAAAGGGCCAAGGUCUCCGUAGAAACCAGGGGGCAGAGCUGAAGCUGGGUCUCAAAGCCAGUGCAGGUGGCAGAGGAAGGACAUGGAGCUCAAGCCAAAGGCACCAGGGCCGCGUCUCCCACCCUGCAGCUCAUGCCUGAGGCCAACAGGGGCUGGAAAGAAGACCUGGAGAGGCUCCUGCUCCUGCUCAGGAGGCUCUGGUUUGUCUCCACGUCAUGGCUCCUGUCCCUCUGGAGGCUGCUCUACCACAGGAAGACAAGCGCUGCUCCUAUCUUCACCGACUUCUCUCCCCAAAGAAACAGACAACCUGGUGGGAAAACAGCAUCACCCCAACUUGGAGCAGCUGGGAGGGACCUGGACCACCAUUCUGCCCCAGGCCCCUCUGCCAUUCUGCAGCCACCCGAGAGGGAGAUCUGACCGCUCCCACACGUACAGUUGCCGACGGUGAGCUCCAGCUCGAAGAGCCAGGAAGUCAAGGAGACCAGACCCUGAGCCCAGCGGCCGCCUGCAAACCUGUGGGCUUCCCCACACCCCAUGUAAGCAAGCUGUCUGGCCCUGGAGCUGGGGACUUGGAGAGGCCCCCACCCUCUUUCCAGUCUUCUCUCAUUGCAGUCUGAGCUAGUUGGACCUCUGAGCUUCACAAAGCACUUUGAAAUUCAUAAAAUGGAAAUUUAUUGAACAAGCCUUUGGAGAAGGGAAGUAAUGAAAACCGCUACAUAAAUUACGAGGCCACUGGUAUUACACAGCUGGAGCUAAUGCUGUUAGUCCCAGAAGGGGACCUAGCUCCACCCUCCUCUGCUGGCCUUCUGGAGGUCUGCUCCUGGGAGCCUGAGAGGAGCCCUAGGGAGAGAGAGAGACCUACCCUGGAGUUUAUCUGGGAGGGCCUGGGAGGCCAUAUGCCCUCUGCCCGGUCUCCAUUUCUGCAUCACUGCAGUGGAGGUAACAGCAACAUCUGU
rnacentral:lncRNA from 1 species